AGUAAAGUAAGCUAAAUCUAAGCUCUUGGGCCCAUACCCCAAAAAUGUGGGUUAGAAUCCCUCCUUUGCCA
rnacentral:tRNA from 1 species